AUUGAACGCUGGCGGCAGGCCUAACACAUGCAAGUCGAACGGUAACAGGGAUCAGCUUGCUGAUUCGCUGACGAGUGGCGGACGGGUGAGUAAUGUCUGGGAAACUGCCUGAUGGAGGGGGAUAACUACUGGAAACGGUAGCUAAUACCGCAUAACGUCGCAAGACCAAAGAGGGGGACCUUCGGGCCUCUUGCCAUCGGAUGUGCCCAGAUGGGAUUAGCUAGUAGGUGGGGUAACGGCUCACCUAGGCGACGAUCCCUAGCUGGUCUGAGAGGAUGACCAGCCACACUGGAACUGAGACACGGUCCAGACUCCUACGGGAGGCAGCAGUGGGGACUAUUGCACAAUGGGCGCAAGCCUGAUGCAGCCAUGCCGCGUGUAUGAAGAAGGCCUUCGGGUUGUAAAGUACUUUCAGCGGGGAGGAAGGGAGUAAAGUUAAUACCUUUGCUCAUUGACGUUACCCGCAGAAGAAGCACCGGCUAACUCCGUG
rnacentral:rRNA from 1 species